rnacentral:misc_RNA from 1 species
GAUGAAGAACGUAGUGAAAUGCGAUAAGUAGUGUGAAUUGCAGAAUUCAGUGAAUCAUCGAAUCUUUGAACGCACAUUGCGCCCCUUGGUAUUCCGAAGGGCAUGCCUGUUCGAGCGUCAUUAUCACCCCUCAAGCCCUCGGCUUGGUGUUGGACGGUUUGGUGGAGGCCCCCUCGGGGGCUCCUGCCCCUCCCAAAGACAAUGACGGCGGCCUCGUUGGACCCCCGGUACACUGAGUUCUUCACGGGACACGUAUCGGACACAUGGGUUUACGGGACACGGUCUGCCUCCCCUCAGGGAGAAUCUUUCUAAGGUUGACCUCGGAUCAGGUAGGGAUACCCGCUGAACUUAAGCAUAUCAAUAAGCGGAGGA